GAUGAACGCUGGCGGCGUGCCUAAUACAUGCAAGUCGAGCGAACGGACGAGAAGCUUGCUUCUCUGAUGUUAGCGGCGGACGGGUGAGUAACACGUGGAUAACCUACCUAUAAGACUGGGAUAACUUCGGGAAACCGGAGCUAAUACCGGAUAAUAUUUUGAACCGCAUGGUUCAAAAGUGAAAGACGGUCUUGCUGUCACUUAUAGAUGGAUCCGCGCUGCAUUAGCUAGUUGGUAAGGUAACGGCUUACCAAGGCAACGAUGCAUAGCCGACCUGAGAGGGUGAUCGGCCACACUGGAACUGAGACACGGUCCAGACUCCUACGGGAGGCAGCAGUAGGGAAUCUUCCGCAAUGGGCGAAAGCCUGACGGAGCAACGCCGCGUGAGUGAUGAAGGUCUUCGGAUCGUAAAACUCUGUUAUUAGGGAAGAACAUAUGUGUAAGUAACUGUGCACAUCUUGACGGUACCUAAUCAGAAAGCCACGGCUAACUACGUGCCAGCAGCCGCGGUAAUACGUAGGUGGCAAGCGUUAUCCGGAAUUAUUGGGCGUAAAGCGCGCGUAGGCGGUUUUUUAAGUCUGAUGUGAAAGCCCACGGCUCAACCGUGGAGGGUCAUUGGAAACUGGAAAACUUGAGUGCAGAAGAGGAAAGUGGAAUUCCAUGUGUAGCGGUGAAAUGCGCAGAGAUAUGGAGGAACACCAGUGGCGAAGGCGACUUUCUGGUCUGUAACUGACGCUGAUGUGCGAAAGCGUGGGGAUCAAACAGGAUUAGAUACCCUGGUAGUCCACGCCGUAAACGAUGAGUGCUAAGUGUUAGGGGGUUUCCGCCCCUUAGUGCUGCAGCUAACGCAUUAAGCACUCCGCCGGGGGAGUACGACCGCAAGGUUGAAACUCAAAGGAAUUGACGGGGACCCGCACAAGCGGUGGAGCAUGUGGUUUAAUUCGAAGCAACGCGAAGAACCUUACCAAAUCUUGACAUCCUUCGACAACUCUAGAGAUAGAGCCUUCCCCUUCGGGGGACAAAGUGACAGGUGGUGCAUGGUUGUCGUCAGCUCGUGUCGUGAGAUGUUGGGUUAAGUCCCGCAACGAGCGCAACCCUUAAGCUUAGUUGCCAUCAUUAAGUUGGGCACUCUAAGUUGACUGCCGGUGACAAACCGGAGGAAGGUGGGGAUGACGUCAAAUCAUCAUGCCCCUUAUGAUUUGGGCUACACACGUGCUACAAUGGACAAUACAAAGGGCAGCGAAACCGCGAGGUCAAGCAAAUCCCAUAAAGUUGUUCUCAGUUCGGAUUGUAGUCUGCAACUCGACUACAUGAAGCUGGAAUCGCUAGUAAUCGUAGAUCAGCAUGCUACGGUGAAUACGUUCCCGGGUCU
rnacentral:rRNA from 1 species